rnacentral:rRNA from 1 species
CCUACGGGUGGCAGCAGUGGGGAAUAUUGGUCAAUGGGCGCAAGCCUGACCCAGCAACGCCGCGUGAAGGAAGAAGGCUUUCUGGUUGUAAACUUCUUUUUUCAGGGACGAAGCAAGUGACGGUACCUGAGGAAUAAGCCACGGCUAACUACGUGCCAGCAGCCGCGGUAAUACGUAGGUGGCAAGCGUUAUCCGGAUUUACUGGUUGUAAAGGGCGUGUAGGCGGGACGGCAAGUCAGAUGUGAAAACCACGGGCUCAACCUGUGGACUGCAUUUGAAACUGUAGUUCUUGAGUACUGGAGAGGCAGGCGGAAUUCGUGGUGUAGCGGUGAAAUGCGGAGAUAUUAGGAGGAACACCGGUGGCGAAGGCGGUCUGCUGGACAGCAACUGACGCUGAGGCGCGAAAGCGUGGGGAGCAAACAGGAUUAGAUACCCGGGUAGUC